UCUGCCCUCUCUCUCUAUCUCUCCAAACAAAGGAUAGAAGGGCAGAGGCCUUUGGUGUCCCUUCCAGUCAAGAAUUGGG
rnacentral:tRNA from 1 species